UUUUUUACUUUUUUUUUUUUAAAAAAAGAAGGCUUUAGGGUUUAGCAUUGAAAAAAAAAAUUAGAGUAUUUGACAAUAGCAGGAAUAGAUAAAUGAAUUAAAAGUACGAUAACUAAUUUUGUUAUUGCCAGUUAUUUUGGCACUAUUCUCCUGGAAGUUUCAUGUCCUCCUGAAGAUCAAAAAAAAAAUUGAAAAACAAAAUAUAAGACAAACAAGAAAAAGCAAGAAUUCGCCUGAAUAGGCACCGUAAAGUAAUUCCAUAAGCUAGUUCACCUAUUUUUAUAUUUAUUUCAAGUCUCAACUAGUAUUUGCCUAACUCUUAUUAAUUGAAAUAUCCCAAACAUACCCAUUUAAUAAUGAAUGAAAUAAGAAAAUCAUUUGGAUCCAAUUAUUCAAAAAAUUACUUUACGCAGACCAACCACAGAAUGAUAAAAUGCCAAACUAUGCUUGUAAACCAAAAAAAUAAAAAUUCAGAAAAUAACAAAAUAGAAUAAGGGAGGGUAGAAAACUCACUAUGUUUUAGCGGAAUCCAAAUCAAAGAGCUACAAAGCAGAAGUUCAAACCCGAAGAACAAGCAUUUAAUUUAAGCUUAAAAAUUAAAAAGCAAAUAGAGGCAACAAGGGUCAUAACUGAGACUAAUGCUUUUGUUUGUUUUUAUAGUCAUUAUAAAAAAUAACUGAGACACAAAGAGCGAGACAAGGAUAGAAAGAAAAAAAGUGAGCGAGUGAAAAAGAAAUCAAAAUUCACUAAGUAGGAUUUACGGAGAAGGUGAAGGUGCUUCAGGUGAGUCGCACAUAAUACAUUGGUUUCUGUAUUUUAUUUUUUACUAACAGAUUGAGCGAUAUGCUUGCUUUAUCUAAAAUUAACACGCAACAGCCAUAUACCAGUUCAGUUGAACAAUUUAAGAGAUGCCAAACUUGAAUACUUAACUGUUUACAAAGCAAAUCUGUAUCCUAAUCACAGAACCUGAAGAGGAUAAUUUAUUUUUAUUAGUAGAUUGGGUGACAGCCGACCCCAAAUUUUUGGGAU
rnacentral:misc_RNA from 1 species